rnacentral:rRNA from 1 species
GAUGAACGCUGGCGGCGUGCCUAAUACAUGCAAGUCGAGCGAACAGACGAGGGGCUUGCUCCUCUGACGUUAGCGGCGGACGGGUGAGUAACACGUGGAUAACCUACCUAUAAGACUGGGAUAACUUCGGGAAACCGGAGCUAAUACCGGAUAAUAUAUUGAACCGCAUGGUUCAAUAGUGAAAGACGGUUUUGCUGUCACUUAUAGAUGGAUCCGCGCCGCAUUAGCUAGUUGGUAAGGUAACGGCUUACCAAGGCAACGAUGCGUAGCCGACCUGAGAGGGUGAUCGGCCACACUGGAACUGAGACACGGUCCAGACUCCUACGGGGGGCAGCAGUAGGGAAUCUUCCGCAAUGGGCGAAAGCCUGACGGAGCAACGCCGCGUGAGUGAUGAAGGUCUUCGGAUCGUAAAACUCUGUUAUUAGGGAAGAACAAAUGUGUAAGUAACUAUGCACGUCUUGACGGUACCUAAUCAGAAAGCCACGGCUAACUACGUGUCAGCCGCCGCAGUAAGAC